GUGCUCACUUCGGCAGCACAUAUACUAAGAUCGGAACAGUACAAAGAAGAUUAGCAUGGCCCCUGAGCAAGGACGACAUGCAAAUUCGUGAAUCGUUUAAAAAAAAA